rnacentral:ncRNA from 2 species
AAAGUUGAAUAUGGGUUCUAAAAUAUUCUCAACAGGACGAGGGAGAAAUAACCCUCAAAUGAUAUGGAUAGUGAUUGCAUCUGCUCCAUAUUGUUACCGAAGUU